rnacentral:lncRNA from 1 species
CACAAAUUCAGAAGACAACUAUCUGGUAUUCAAAAAGAAAAAGUUACUUCCAUAAUCAAGAAAUGUAAUAGAAUUGUUGGGAGAUAUACAAAAUGUGUUUCAUCCUAUCACAUAUCAAUCUACUUUCAUCUCUUACACGACGCUAAGAGCAGGAUGUAACUGCAACGCAUUGUUCAGCCAUGCAUCCACAGAAGGGUGACCUGUAAAAAAAGGGUACCACCAUAUAGGCCCAGCUGGCUAUUCACGCCCAGCACAUUAUAGAACCCUUACAAGAUUCUUACAAAGGGGUGGGGUAGGAAUUUUUUUUUUCAUUUUUUAUUACAUUGGAGUCCACGUGGGACCGACCCCAUGUGAGGGGUCGGUAAAACCUCUGUAAAAACAAGCUCUGUACACAGAGCUUUAGCCAUUCCCACUGUGAGGAAGCCAACUUGGCAACAGUUACCUCAUCCUCUUAACCUCUUAAAUCUAUUUUUCAUGUUAAUACUCAACCAAACUAUAGUUGUUAUGAUCAAAUUAUUUGCAUGAACAAUAAACCCCAAAUCUGAAUAAAAAAUGAAUUUCAUAAGAAGAAUCACUAUAGCAUAAAUCAUUCAUCAAGACAAAUUUUUAAGAGGGACAACUUUNUUGUUCUUCAU